CAAACCAGUGCUUGUCCUUACUUUUUGGUAUACAGCAGGAGCUUUGUGUGUACUUUGUUUUAGUACACUGAAUAUUAAAAGUCAAGAUUUAAUAAAAGUAAUAAACUUUACUACUUUAUAAGGACAUUAAGUGAAAUUGGCUUUUUUUCCCCUCAAACUGCGAAAGCAUGGUGGCGGUGAAUACAGUAACUGCUGGUACUUUGAUACCACAGUCUUGAUUUAUGUUUAGACGCCAGCAGUUUUACCCACCAUUGCUUUUGCAUCAGCCAUGCAAAUAUCAAAACAGUGAAAAUGGCAAAUAAUGUCUUAGUAUUAUCAUGGAAGUAGUUUUGACUAAAUGGACCCUCUAAAAGUGUCUCAACACUCUCCAGGGAUCCAUGGACCACACUUUGAGAACAGCUGUUCUAAGCCAUGAAACUAUAUCAAUUUAAAAAUUCUUGACUAUCAUGUCUCCUCAAAUUCUCUAUACAUCAUAAAGGCUAUUACAAUAGCCUAAUUAUAGAAAGCAGAACAUAAAAUACAUUUUAGGAAAGUUUGAUUAUAGAGCAAACAGUAGCAGUCCUACUUACCUUAGGAGAAGAAAUCUUUACAUAUACUAUAAUAGGGGCCAAGGAGGUUUUACUGAGUUGAGCUGGAUGAUUAAUUGUAUCCGCGUCAAGGACCACCAACUGCAAUGUUCUUGCAAGUUCAAAAAUCCUUUCGAUUUCACUCUGAACUUCCGCUGUAAAGGGCGAAACAAUUCAGUUAAAGUGCAGUAUUUUUAAGAUAAAGUAAAAUGGUAUACUGUUUCUUCAACAGAAAGGUGAGUAGGUCAGCCAUUAUGUUAAUGCUUACAGGCAAUAGAAUUGAUAAAAAUUUACAACAGUAAUUUAUCCUUUUGGAAAGGGCUGUUUCUCCACACAUCAUUAGGAUUUAAGGAAUUUUUCUGUCAACCGGCUACAGAAUUUACUUUUAGUAUAAUACUUGGAUUGUGGAAAUUUUUAGCUCUCUGCUGACAUUCUUUGUGCUUGCAGUCUAUGAAAUCAUUUCAUAAAACUGCUGUAAAAUAAGAACCUUGACAUAUCUUCCGUGUGUUCAUUGCAGACCACUUUGCAUUAGCAACCAUGACAGGUUUUCCUUUCAGUGCACGGGCUGAUCUAUGUUUACAUGUCACCUGUAUGCCGUCUAGAUGUUUAUUAACAAGAUGAAAUACAAAAUAAAACAGCAAAGACGUGAAUGGCACCAGAAAGAAACUUAUCCAAAAACACACCUCAUAUUUUCCAACCAAAGUAGUCAUGUUUUAAAAGGGCAGUUUUCAGAGGCAGCACUACAGAAAUCUAAAGUAUAAAAUUUAUAGAAACUUAUCACAAAACAUUAGAAUAUCUAGUUGAACUCCGAGAAAAUGGCAUUCAGUUCAUCUGUUCUGUGAUCUCCAAAGACUCAAAAACCGGACUGUCUGACCGAAUUUUCUGCAAUGAGGGAAAUAUUCUCUGUAUGUGGUCCAGCGUGGCAGCAGCUAAUGGGCUACUGAGCACUUGAACAGGCGUGUAAAUUUUUAAAAUUUAAUAAAUAGGCAGAAGCUACUAUUACUAGGCAGCAUAGGUCUAUAAAGCAUAGUACAUAGCUUUCACUUCCCACUGCAGUCGUGGAGGUUGAAUUCCAUGAGACUUUUAUGCUAGCAAAUGUGGAUUUACAAUUACCUUUUAAUUCCUCUUAGGCCGUUGGAUUCUUGCCAGAAGCUUCCUGGAGAUAAUUUUAACUAGUACCUUAUUGAAGAAAAGUUGUCCUAGCUAAUGAAAGAAUGCAGCUCAGCAUCUUGAAGACGGGGCAAGCCUUCCUCAUCUCCCCACAUCCCACAGUUUCUUAUACCCACUGAAUUAAACUGAAAAAUGAA